GCAGUGGUGGUUCAGUGGUAGAAUUCUUGCCUUCCACGCAGGAGACCUGGGUUCGAUUCCCAGUCAAUGCA
rnacentral:tRNA from 2 species